GUCCGAACCCACGCACGUUGAAAAGUGCGGGGAUGAGGUGUGGGUAGCGGAGAAAUUCCAAUCGAACUUGGAGAUAGCUGGUUCUCUCCGAAAUAGCUUUAGGGCUAGCCUCGAGGUAAAGAGUCAUGGAGGUAGAGCACUGUUUGGACUAGGGGCCCUUCUCGGGUUACCGAAUUCAGAUAAACUCCGAAUGCCAUGUACUUAUACUCGGGAGUCAGACUGCGAGUGAUAAGAUCCGUAGUCGAAAGGGAAACAGCCCAGACCACCAGUUAAGGUCCCCAAAUAUAUGUUAAGUGGAAAAGGAUGUGGGGUUGCUUAGACAACCAGGAUGUUGGCUUAGAAGCAGCCACCAUUGAAAGAGUGCGUAAUAGCUCACUGGUCGAGUGACCCCGCGCCGAAAAUGUACCGGGGCUAAACAUAUUACCGAAACUGUGGAUGAACCUCUUCGGAGGUUCGUGGUAGGAGAGCGUUCUAAGGGCGGUGAAGUCAGACCGGAAGGACUGGUGGAGCGCUUAGAAGUGAGAAUGCCGGUAUGAGUAGCGAAAGAAGGGUGAGAAUCCCUUCCACCGAAUAUCUAAGGUUUCCUGAGGAAGGCUCGUCCGCUCAGGGUUAGUCGGGACCUAAGCCGAGGCCGAUAGGCGUAGGCGAUGGACAACAGGUAGAGAUUCCUGUACCAGUGCUAAUUGUUUAACCGAUGGGGUGACACAGAAGGAUAGGGAAUCGCACGAAUGGAAAUGUGCGUCCAAGCAGUGAGUGUGAGAAGUAGGCAAAUCCGCUUCUUGCGAAGCAUGAGCUGUGAUGGGGAAGGAAAUUAAGUACGGAAGUUCCUGAUUUCACGCU
rnacentral:rRNA from 1 species